AGUGAACGCUGGCGGUAGGCCUAACACAUGCAAGUCGAACGGCAGCACAGUAAGAGCUUGCUCUUACGGGUGGCGAGUGGCGGACGGGUGAGGAAUACAUCGGAAUCUACUUUUUCGUGGGGGAUAACGUAGGGAAACUUACGCUAAUACCGCAUACGACCUACGGGUGAAAGCAGGGGAUCUUCGGACCUUGCGCGAUUGAAUGAGCCGAUGUCGGAUUAGCUAGUUGGCGGGGUAAAGGCCCACCAAGGCGACGAUCCGUAGCUGGUCUGAGAGGAUGAUCAGCCACACUGGAACAGAGAAACGGUCCAGACUCCGACGGGAGGCAGCAGUGGGGAAUAUUGGACAAUGGGCGCAAGCCUGAUCCAGCCAUACCGCGUGGGUGAAGAAGGACUUCGGGUUGUAAAGCCCUUUUGUUGGGAAAGAAAAGCAGCAGGUUAAUACCCCGCUGUUCUGACGGUACCCAAAGAAUAAGCACCGGCUAACUUCGUG
rnacentral:rRNA from 1 species